GAGCAGACAGUUGUUAUGGAUACCCAGCUUGCAGGCAGAGGAGAGUUGGUUGAAGAGGAAUGGAAACCACAACAACGUUUGCACGUGAUUUCAAAAGUAGAUGUGAUUGGUCGACCGUUGAUAUUCUCACAAAAAAGCGCGGGAAUCAAGCAUUGAAUCAACCCUGUACUUGGCCUUGUUGUUUACAAAAAGACAUCCACGAGGACGUUGUGCUCAAAGAAAAUUAAAAUUUCAACCCCUCAAUGUGCAGAUUUUAGAAAUUUGAUCCCUUUUCUAUACUGAUAAAGCAGCACCUCAAUUUCUGCCGCCUGCAUAUUUUGAUGAAGCUAAAGGAAAAACAAAAACCACUACAUCAACAUGCGGGGAAUGUCUAGGCGCGUAAAAUGGCGGCAGUUUCCUUCGCUGUCCAAGGGCUUGCAGUAUGAGAAAGUCAACAUUUCUUUUGACGUUGGUCAGGAUGAGAGUGUGACCAUGCAAAGACAGUAGCAACAAUGUGUGUCGCCGAAUCCGGUAUUUGCAGCUGUGUGGAAAAAAACUCUGGCUGAAAAUGCGAUGGUUGAGCAGACAGUUGCUAUGGAUACCCAGCUUGCAGGCAGAGGUAUUGUAUUAUACUGUAUUCUAUUGUUUAUAAGUUUAUCGCAUUGAAUGAUUUAUUUAAUGAUAGUUUAACAAUAGCAAAAAAACACAAAAUCCGACUAACCUGAAGCAAAAACAAGGAUUUCUCAAGGCAGUUAAUUUGCCGAAAAAUAACACGUCUUCGUUUUCUAAUAGCCAAAUUUCAAUCAGAUUUUCAAUUAAUGCAAAUUUAUUGAAAAGCUAAGCGCCCGGAUGCUCUAAUCUAUAGUUUUGACCUUUUGUCUCAAGAAAGAUUUCAUACACGAUAAUUGUGAGUCGUUAUUUUUGGCAAAAAACCAUCGAAUCUAGAUUAUCAAAAAUUCAGAUUGUCAAAAAUUUUAGA